UACGUAGGGUGCAAGCGUUAAUCGGAAUUACUGGGCGUAAAGCGUGCGCAGGCGGCUUUGCAAGACAGAUGUGAAAUCCCCGGGCUUAACCUGGGAAUGGCAUUUGGGACUGCAAGGCUCGAGUGCGGCAGAGGAGACUGGAAUUCCUGGUGUAGCAGUGAAAUGCGUAGAUAUCAGGAGGAACACCGAUGGCGAAGGCAGGUCUCUGGGCUGACACUGACGCUCAUGCACGAAAGCGUGGGGAGCAAACAGG
rnacentral:rRNA from 1 species